rnacentral:lncRNA from 1 species
CAAAUUCUUCCUGGGUCAAAGGUUCAUUGGAGACGGGACUGUUUUGAAAAGUACAUGAUAUGGCGAAAUUAGGUGCUGCUGAAAAGCAAAGACUCUACAGACAGCGCAGGGAUGCUGACCCACACCGCAGAGCAGCCUACCUUAAACAAAAACCCCAGACUUAAAGGAUUUAGAGAUUCAAAAAAAGAAAGAGUAAGGAUCUCUCAGAAAGGGAAAAAAGACAGGAGCGAAGGAAAUGGCGGAUCAGACAGGCAAAACAGAGAGAUUGAGAGCAGGAAUGACAGUGUUGACCCUCCCCCAUCCACUCCAAACAGUGAACCCAUGUCUGCAAGGCAAUGAAUCCAAGGGCGGAGAGUGCGCAGGAGAGAAGCACAGAUAGGCAGAAGAAAACGUCAAGAGUUGCAAGAGAAGUUGGAAAAGUACAAAAGACUACACCACAAAUACAAAAAAACGUUGUUACCGUUUGCAGGCUAAAGAUCAAGACCUUGACAGUCCAAGAACAAAGACGAGAAGCACUCUACAAGGCUGACCGGCCUCUUCAUCAAUUAGAACAACUCGAAACUUGUGCGAAAUCCUGGAGGGACUGCAAUAUAAACAGAAGAGCAACUUUUACAUAGUUUGCACAGAACCUUACAAGAAGGGCUUCCAAGGGACUAUGUGGAACUUUUUUUGAGGCCAGUCACAGAAAAGGUUCUCCGGAUGGAGCGGGGGGUUCAUUAGAGGUCAGCCAACCUCUUGGUCCGCCACGGGAUAGACAUAACGGAUGCAAUGUCUUUCUACAAGGAGUUUAGGGACUGGCAGUCAAAUACAGUUGCAUUAUGUCAGCAAGGAAGAGGUGGAAAGAAAGGCACAGAAGAUGUCUGUGGUAUCUCUGGAUACCAUAAAAGAAACAAUGGGAAUGCACCAGGUUGUAAGUAUCACACCUGGCAUCCUAAAAUAUAGAGACAUAAGUUGUCUGCCAGGCAGCGGAAGGCUUGUGGGAUUGCCCAUGUUAUGGAAUCCAAGAAGUCACCCUCCCGACAAUGCCGGCUAAUGGCCGUGAUCUCUCACCUCCACAUCAACCAGAUUUCAUCGAUCUAGAUACCUCAGCUCCACUUCGUCCAGAUGUCAUCGAGUCUCACCACAGUGGACAGUGGUGUAUUGUGAACUAUGACCAACAACCAUACCCUGGCAUUGUAAUAGAGGUUGAAGAACAUAAUGCCAACAAGUUCUACUGGCCAAGCCCAAGAGAUGAUAUCAACUGGUAUGGGGAUGACCAGAUUGUCUGAUGCCAGAGCUGCUGCCAGUGAACAAAAGGUCAGUUAAAAUUUGCCACAGUGUCUGGAAGUACUUGGAGGAGCACCUGACUGCGUGAAAGUGGCAGAUGUGCACUGGAUACAAGUGAAGAAGCUGCCAGUAGCUAGAAAGCAAUGGAGAUUGGCUCAGAGAUGAUAAGUUAUGAACGCAACACAAUAGCAUGGCAAAGACAAACAUAUCUGAAGUAAAAGUGAAGAACAAUAGAGGAAAAAUUCCAUGAACAUGUUUUACUGCAGACAAAAUGUUUGUAUCAGUGUGGUUAGGAAAACAGUUUUAGUGUAUGUUCAAUGUUUGUGUUUCUAAUGUUCUAGUGGACAUGUUUAAUAUGUUUGUAUGACAAUGUUGGUGUUUCUAAUGUUCUAGUGGAUAUGUUUAAUAUGUUUGUAUGACAAUGUUGUGUUUUGAAAGACACAUUUUAGUCAAUAGGCUUUAUCUUUUGGUCUUAAUCUUUGACCAAUAACCCUAAUUUUAUUGUUCAUAUUAAAUGAAGUCUGAAAU